rnacentral:rRNA from 1 species
GAUGAACGCUGGCGGCGUGCCUAAUACAUGCAAGUCGAGCGAACAGACGAGGAGCUUGUUCCUCCGGCGUUAGCGGCGGACGGGUGAGUAACACGUGGAGAACCUACCUAUAAGACUGGGAUAACUUCGGGAAACGAGAGCUAAUACCGGAUAAUAUAUUGAAACACAUGGUUCAAUAGUGAAAGACGGUUUUGCUGUACCUUAUGGAGAUAUCCGCGCGUCAUUAGCUAGUUGGUAGGGUAACGGCUUACCAAGGGAACGAUGAGUAGCCGACCGGAGAGGGUGAUCGGCAACACUGGAACGGAGACCCGCUCCAGACUCCUACGGGAGGAAGCAGUAGGGAAUCUUCCGCAAUGGGCGAAAGCCUGCCGGAGCAACGCCGCGUGAGUGAUGAAGGUCUUCGGAUCGUAAAACUCUGUUAUUAGGGAAGACCAAAUGUGUAAGUAAAUAUGCACGUCUUGACGGUACCUACUCAGAAAGCCACGGCUAACUACGUG